UCAGCCCGGUCCCUCAGGGCUGACCCUCACCCCUGUCCCUCGUCCUUGUCGCUCAUCCCAGUCCCUCAGGGCUGACCCUCCCUCCACACCCUCAGGCUCGCCCGACGGCGUCAGAGCCCUCAGCCCGCGGCCGGCGCUGCCGCUUCCGUGUGAGGCGCUGCCGAGGGUCGCCUUGCUCUGCCUGAGCUUACUGUUUUUCUACAGCGUUUUCUCUGGGUUUUAGUUGCUUAUCUUCAGAGGAGGCCAGAAAACAACACCCUCUAAACUCCUAUGCGGUGCAAAAACUCUCUAUAAACUGAAAUCAAAUUUGGAGUAAUCAAUACAUCGUUGCCUGUUAAGACUCAGCAAAGAAAUGAAAAGGAGUUUAGGUGACACCUCAACUCGCAGCACAGCAGGUUGUCUGCCUGUACCGCUGUUCAAUCAGAAAAAAAGAACUAGACAGCCCCUCACUUCAAAUCCAAUUAAAAGUGAGCCAGGUGCCGGUUCUGGGACUCGUACAUAUGACUUCUCUCCCACAUC